AAAUCCGUCGAAUUUUGAAAUCGUGAGG
rnacentral:tRNA from 1 species